rnacentral:rRNA from 1 species
UGCAAGCGUUACCCGGAUUCACUGGGUUUAAAGGGUGCGUAGGUGGGUCUGUAAGUCAGUGGUGAAAUCUCCGAGCUUAACUCGGAAACUGCCAUUGAUACUAUAGGUCUUGAAUCAUCUGGAGGUAAGCGGAAUAUGUCAUGUAGCGGUGAAAUGCUUAGAUAUGACAUAGAACACCAAUUGCGAAGGCAGCUUACUACGGGUGUAUUGACACUGAGGCACGAAAGCGUGGGGAUCAAACAGG